CGUAAACUAGCAGGCUCUUCCCCAGAGUCGGAUAGCUAAAAAUUUGAUUUUUGUGUGGUUAUACCUGUCUCAUUACAUAUCAGAACAUCUGGUAUGCUAUCUAAAUGGUCCACAAGACAGCACAGAGGGUAACCUUUCAUUUGAGACCAAGAUUAUGCUUCUACAUGUUUAGGUUCACUUUUGUUUACAGUAUGCAUUCUGGGUAGCCAAAGGUCUUUUUUGGAGUAUGCGUGUGUCUUCGUUUCCCCGAAAACACGUUACCCGCGCUGAGAGGGGCGGCUGAGAGUCAAACCGGUUCAGCUCACUUCCUCAUUUCCUCACUUCACUCCUUUCUUUCUCCGCUUUUUAAACCUUUCACCUGAUUAACUUUUAUAAGGUUAAAGGUUAAAGUGUUUUAUAAACACUUUAACCUCAGUUUCUUCCCUUACAUUUAUACUUUUAUUACUUUAUACCGUAUGGACGCAUUUUAAUCCCGGAAUAGAUACGAUAAGGUCUCCAGUCUACUAUGGAUGAGGAGAGAGAAGAGGGGGGUCCUACCUCUAAGACCACUCUGUCUGGGGAACAUGGCCGCCGGAGCAAAGCUAAGAGCCCAGAGAAGCAGGAGAGAGCAGACCCCCCUGGACCCAGCUGUGUCUCCAUGAAGAGUAGCUGGUCUAUGGAUCCACCUAUUAGUUUUAAAGAUGGAAAUCAGUCUAUCAAGAAGAGAGUCCAGCAGGAGAGAGCAGACUCCCCUGGAUCCAGCUGUGUCUCCAUGAAGAGUGACCGCUCUAUGGAUGUACCAGCGGUGUUUAAAGAUGGACGCCCCUCCAGAGAGGAGAGGUAGGGGGUUCAAACAGACGAUGAAAACAGACCACUUGGUUGUUAUCAGUCUCUACUGAUACUGACAUCUACAAGUCUGGCGAAAUAGAAUUGUGUGUGUGUGUGUGUGUGCCUGUGUGUGUGUGCUCUCCAAAGACACCAGAUGACGUCAAAGGUUACCAGUGCUCAGUCUCUACAGCAACAUCAAACAGAGCUGAUCAAGAGGGCUGAGGAGAACGCACACGCUUUCCUAGACAAGGAGCUGAAGAAGCUCUGGAGGGGAUCUCUUCUCAGAUUACCCACAAUUCUCAGAGGGUCAGAGGGAGGAGGAGGAGGAGGUGGAUGAUAAGAAGGAGGAGCAGAGGAGGCGCGCCAUAGAGGGAGUGGUGGACAUCACAAUCCUCUGCCUGAUGGAAAUGAACCAGGAGGAACUGGCCGACAAACUGCGGGGG
ensembl:lncRNA